GUCUACAGCCAUGCCACUCUGAACAAGCCCAAUUCCCUCCGAUCUCGGAAGUUAAGCAGGGUCGAAUCUGGUUAGUAUUUGGAUGGGAGAGCACCUAGGAAGACGAGGUGCUGUAGGGA
rnacentral:rRNA from 1 species